rnacentral:misc_RNA from 1 species
UUUUCUUCAUUGUCACCAAAUGACGUUGCAAUUGCUUCUUUAGUUCUAUCCAUCGCCUCACAGAUAUAUCCCAUUGCAGACAUUUUCUCAUCAUCAACUAGUCUAAGCACACGUACUAAUGGAUAAAAAUCUUUAAGAUAAAAACAAUAUUAGUCCAAAAAGUAGACAUCAUGACAAUACUACACGCUUUCUUAGGAAACAAUUCUUUUGCCUACUUACUUUUAGUCUAUUCCUCUGAAGUAAAGAUCUUUCUCAAAUUCAUCUUGUGCUUAUGUAUGUGUUGAA